GUCUACAGCCAUGCCACCCUGAACAUGACUGAUCUCGUCUGAUUCAGAAGCUAAGCAGGGUCGGACCUGGUUAGUAC
rnacentral:rRNA from 1 species